GAUGAACGCUGGCGGUGUGCCUAACACAUGCAAGUCGAGCGGACGGACGAGAAGCUUGUUCUCUUGCUGGUAGCGGGGGGCGGGCGGGUAACACAUGCAUCACCUUCUUCUUAUACGUGGGUGACAUCGGGGAACCGCAGCCACUACUACCGCAUACUUUGUACGGCAGGGAUCAAAAGUGCAUGGCGGUUUUCGCGUCACUUUUAGCCGAUUUCGCGCUGCAUUAGCUAGUUGGUAAGGUAACGCCUUACCAAGGCAACGAUGCAUAGCCGAUCUGAGAGGAUGAUCGGCCACACUGGAACUGAGACACGGUCCAGACUCCUACGGGAGGCAGCAGUAGGGAAUAUUCGGCAAUGGGCGCAAGCCUGACCGAGCAACACCGCGUGAGUGAAGAAGGUCUUCGGAUUGUAAAGCUCUGUUGUUGGGAAAGAAAAUAAGUAGGUGAAUCUGUGGACGUCUUGACGGUACCUAAAGAGAAAGCAACGGCUAACUUCGUG
rnacentral:rRNA from 1 species